CUCCAGUGACAUCUACCUGUCAACAAGGAUGUCCAAGACCAGCAUCUUAUACAGGAGCUUUACUCUCUAGUAAAAGUCAGUGUUUGAGAUAUCCAGCGACAUCUACCUGUCAACAAGGAUGUCCAAGACCAACCUCUUAUACAGGAGCUUCACUCUCUAGUAAAAGUGUUUGUCCGCCAUCGUCAUGAAGAUGUAAAGAGAUUAACAGUAACAAGGUCAUAAUGAUCUGAAUAAUAUGGUGGAUAACUAAGAAGUAUUUGUCCGCCACCGUUGGGAAGAUGUCAAGAGAUCACCAGUAACAAGCUCAGUCAUCUGAACAUGAUGUAGGCCUAUAACAAAG